rnacentral:rRNA from 1 species
UAAAGAUAAUAAGGGCGUACGGUGGAUGCCUUGGCGAUAUCAGCCGAAGAAGGACGCGGUAAGCUGCGAUAAGCUACGGAGAGGUGCAAGCAACCUGUGACCCGUAGAUAUCCGAAUGGGGGAACCCGGCAGUGGUUAUGCACUGUCACCCAUACCUUUGAGUAUGAGGAGGGCACCCGGGGAACUGAAACAUCUAAUUACCCGGAGGAACAGUAAUCAAACGAGAUUUUCUUAGUAGCGGCGAGCGAACGGGAAAGAGGCCAAACCGGAGCGGGCAACCGCACCGGGGUUGAGGACAGUCAUCAAGUGUAAAUGAGGUAGAAGAAUCGAGCUGGAAAGCUCAGCCGCAGAAGGUGAAAGCCCUGUAAUCGAAACCUUGCAUACACGGGACUGUAUCCAGAGUACCACGAGACACGUGAAACCUUGUGGGAAGCAGGGGGGACCACCCUCCAAGCCAAAAUACUGAUAUCGACCGAUAGCGCAUAGUACCGUGAGGGAAAGGUGAAAAGAACCCCUGGCGGGGAGUGAAAGAGAACCUGAAACCGUAUGUCUACAAACAGUCGAAGUCUGUAUAUAUAUCAGGACGACGGCGUGCCUAUUGAAGAAUGAACCGACGAGUUACUGUUGCUAGCGAGGUUAAGUGGAAAACAUGGAGCCGCAGCGAAAGCGAGUCUGAACAGGGCGUUCAGUUAGUAAUAGUAGACCCGAAACCGUAGUGAUCUAUCCAUGGCCAGGUUGAAGCACAGGUAAAAUUGUGUGGAGGACCGAACUCGUGAGCGUUGAAAAGCUUUGGGAUGAGUUGUGGAUAGGGGUGAAAUGCCAAUCGAACACGGAGAUAGCUGGUUCUCCCCGAAAUAGCUUUAGGGCUAGCCUCGAGGUAGAGAGUAUAGGCGGUAGAGCACUGAUCGGGCUAGGGGCCAUACCGGUUACCGAACCUAGUCAAACUACGAAUGGCUAUACUUAUACUCGGGAGUCAGACAGUGAAUGAUAAGGUCCAUUGUCAAGAGGGAAACAGCCCAGAACACCGACUAAGGUCCCCAAUGUUACACUAAGUGGCGAAGGAUGUGGAAUUUCCAAAACAACCAGGAUGUUGGCUUAGAAGCAGCCACCAUUUAAAGAGUGCGUAAUAGCUCACUGGUCGAGAGACUCUGCGCCGAAAAUGUCCGGGGCUAAAGUGUAAAACCGAAGUCGUGUCAUAUGCAGCAAUGUAUAUGGGUAGGGGAGCGUUCUCAUCGGGCUGAAGCAGUACCGUAAGGAGUUGUGGACUGAUGAGAAGUGAGAAUGUCGGUAUGAGUAGCGAAAAGAAUGGUGAGAAUCCAUUCCACCGAAAGCCUAAGGGUUCCUGAGCAACGAUCGUCGUCUCAGGGUAAGUCGGGACCUAAGCCGAGGCGGAAAAGCGUAGGCGAUGGACAACAGGUUGAAAUUCCUGUACCGGUGUGAAUCGUUUGAUCGAUGGAGUGACACAGUAAGGUAGGUCAGCACGCGAUUGGAAGAGCGUGUUUAAGCAGGUAGGUUGAGCUAUAGGCAAAUCCGUAGCUCUAAAAGCUGAGAUGUGAUGACGAGUGACUAGCAAUAGUCGCGAAGUGAUUGAUCCUACACUGUCGAGAAAAGCUUCUAGGUAGAGACACAUCGCCCGUACCAAAACCGACACAGGUAGGCGGGGAGAGAAUCCUAAGGUGCGCGGGAAAACCCUCGUUAAGGAACUCGGCAAAAUGCCUCCGUAACUUCGGGAAAAGGAGGACUCAUGUAGUGUGAAGUGCAGCAACGCCUGGAGCAUGAAUGAGUGGCACAAGAGAGGCGCAAGCGACUGUUUACCACAAACACAGGUGCCUGCUAAAGCGAAAGCUGAUGUAUAGGUGCUGACACCUGCCCGGUGCUGGAAGGUUAAGAGGAGGGGUUAGACUUCGGUCGAAGCUCUGAAUUGAAGCCCCAGUAAACGGCGGCCGUAACUAUAACGGUCCUAAGGUAGCGAAAUUCCUUGUCGGGU